rnacentral:tRNA from 1 species
CAGUGGCUAGAGCGUUUGACUGUAAAGUUGACGUUGUUGAUGGUGUGUGUUCAAAUCCCACUUCCUGC